UACGGAGGGUGCGAGCGUUGUCCGGAAUCACUGGGCGUAAAGGGCGCGUAGGCGGCCUGAUAAGUAGGGGGUGAAAUCCUGCGGCUUAACCGCAGGGCUGCCUUCUAAACUGUCAGGCUAGAGCACAGUAGAGGCAGGUGGAAUUCCCGGUGUAGCGGUGGAAUGCGUAGAGAUCGGGAAGAACAUCAGUGGCGAAGGCGGCCUGCUGGGCUGUUGCUGACGCUGAGGCGCGACAGCGUCGGGAGCAAACAGG
rnacentral:rRNA from 1 species